UGGGAGGUAAAUUUCUCCUAAGGCUAAAUACAGGCGAGAGACCGAUAGCGAACAAGUACCGUGAGGGAAAGAUGAAAAGAACUUUGAAAAGAGAGUCAAACAGUACGUGAACUUGUUGAAAGGGAAACGAUUGAAGCCAGUCGUACCGACGGGAAUUCAAUUUUUUAAGUGCUUGUCGUGGGUGAUGUUGAGCUUCGCGGCCUUCGUUGCUUUGCGUUAUGGUACUUUUAGGUGUACUUUUCCGUAUGGUAGGUCAACAUCGAUUUUAAUCGUCAUAAAAUGAUCGGAGGAAUGUGGCUUCGAUCUCGUAUCGGAGUGUUAUAGCCUUUGGUAGAUGUGACGAUUGGGAUCGAGGAUUGCAACGAAUACCCUUUGGGCUAUCCGUCUGACCUCUGAAAGUCGCUCGGGUGUCGAAAGCGUGCUUAUGACACUCUAGUUGGCGGUCAAUAGGUUAGAACGUGAUUACAUUCGUUAAGGAUGUUGACGUAAUGGCUUUAAACGACCCGUCUUGAAACACGGACCAAGGAGUCUAACAUAUAUGCGAGUGUUUGGGUGAACAAACCCUUACGCGUAAUGAAAGUAAUUUUGGUGGGAUCACUUGUGUGCACCAUCGACC
rnacentral:rRNA from 1 species